UUGGCUGAAACCACAAAAACACAGAUAUCAUUAAAUUUUGCCAUAUCUUCAGCAGGUUGAUGAGAAACCAAGAAGCUAGCUAAGGAUCAUAGCAUAUAGUACUAUACGUAAUGGAUUUCCCCAGACCACCUUACGUUCACACACACCACACGUCUCAUAUGGGUUUAUUUGGUAUGUGUUGCCAAAACAUCUGCAGAGUUAUCUCUUCCUGCGCCUACUUCUGGUGCUGUUGUUGGCUUAUAGAAGGCUGUUUUGGCCGGCAACGACGUUGGGGACCGCCGCCUCCUCCUCCUCCUCAUCCACAUCCUCCUCAUCCGCAUCUUCCUCGUCCGCAUCCACCGCCGCCAAUGUACUGAUAUUCCGGCCUGCAGCUACACCGCCCAUGAUGUGAUUAACUUCGAUCUAGAAGAGUAAGAAGACAUGCUGUCUUUGUCAUGAGAGUAUGUAGGACUAUAUAUGGUUGUUCGUCGUUUUUUAAUAAAUAACAAAUGAUUUUGCUUUU